rnacentral:rRNA from 1 species
ACGGGUGAGUAACACGUGGGUUACCUACCUAUAAGANCUGGAAUAACUCCGGGAAACCGGGGCUAAUGCCGGAUAAUACAUGAAACCGCAUGGUUUCAUGAUGAAAGACGGUCUUGCUGUCACUUAUAGAUGGACCCGCGGCGUAUUAGCUAGUUGGUAAGGUAACGGCUUACCAAGGCAACNAUANGUAGCCGACCUGAGAGGGUGAUCGGCCACACUGGAACUGAGACACGGGCCAGACUCCCUACGGGAGGCAGCAGUAGGGAAUCUUCCGCAAUGGGCGAAAGCCUGACGGAGCAACGCCGCGUGAGUGAUGAAGGUACUUCGGAUCGUAAAUACUCCUGUUAUUAGGGAAGAACAAGGAUGUAAGUAUACUGUGCAUCCCUUGCACGGUACC